CUUGACCUUUAUGAAUCACCGGGAUACAUAGUACUUAGGCAGAUGUUUGAUCUUUUUAGAUUUGAAUGAUGAAAAUCUAACAUGAAAAUUCAUAAAAGAGAGAGAAAUUACAAUGAAAGACAAAUUACCCAAAAAAAAAAAAAAAGGACAACGUCAAACAACUUUAAUGAUUUAAAUAAAAGGGGUAACAAAAUUAUAGCUAAAAUCAUACCGGCAUAAUUUGCAAAUCCGAUCACUAAUCACGUGAAUUGGGGAAAAAAAAAAAAACCACGCAAACGGUAUCUACUUUAGCGUUUAACGGCGAAAAAUGUUGAACAAUGUUAAUAUGCAUUAAAAUUUAAAACCACUUCCGAAGGCAGAUUCGGGUAUAGACAAGUAGGGAGCACUAACUUUUAACUUUUUGCUUUAGCAGGACAAUUUAAUUUCGUUUUCAUUUUUUUUUUAUGCAUAAACAAAACAAAACGUUCAGUUUCAGUUAUGCUUAAAUUGUAAAACAGGAGACGGAGAGGAGAUGUCCGCUGCCCGCAUGACUCGGUUCCCCUUUGUUCUGACUCCGAUUUCGUUUUUAUUGAAACCGACAAACUCCUGGUCCCCGCCGCUUAUCUGGCCUUGGCCAUUUACGUAGUUGCAUCUAUAUGAAUCUCAUUUGCUGAAGCUGGAAAAGAAAAGAUCGAAAAAUAAAAUAAAUAAGCCAAACCGUUCAAAUUAUAAAUACGAUAAAAUAAAUAAAUGCGACCCGAAAAUUAUUGCGAGACCCAUUUCACUUGUGGCAACAUUGACGACGUACGUUGCGUUGUUGAUCCAUCACAUAUGCUGUCACAGGGUUGUCCUCUUUGCGUUUGGGGCCAAAUAUUGCAUGGGUUAUUAAUUUUGUUGCUAGAUAUUUCAUAUUUGUGUUGUUAAUUUCUCGAGUCGAUGUUGUGUUUCUAUUUUCUAAGCUUGCAUGUGGCAAGCUAGCUCACUUCAUUACACGGAUUUUUCUCAGCUUUGUCCCAGCCACCGUUUUGUAAAAUAUCUUAAAAGCAACUCCAAAAG
rnacentral:lncRNA from 1 species